rnacentral:rRNA from 1 species
UACGAAGGGGGCGAGCGUUGUUCGGAAUCACUGGGCGUAAAGGGCGCGUAGGCGGUCGUUCAAGUCGCGUGUGAAAGCCCCCGGCUCAACUGGGGAGGGUCACGCGAUACUGAUCGACUCGAAGGCAGGAGAGGGUAGUGGAAUUCCCGGUGUAGUGGUGAAAUGCGUAGAUAUCGGGAGGAACACCAGUGGCGAAGGCGACUACCUGGCCUGUUCUUGACGCUGAGGCGCGAAAGCUAGGGGAGCAAACGGGG